GAUGAACGCUGGCGGCGUGCCUAAUACAUGCAAGUCGAGCGAACAGACGAGGAGCUUGCUCCUCUGACGUUAGCGGCGGACGGGUGAGUAACACGUGGAUAACCUACCUAUAAGACUGGGAUAACUUCGGGAAACCGGAGCCAAUACCGGAUAAUAUAUUGAACCGCAUGGUUCAAUAGUGAAAGACGGUUUUGCUGUCACUUAUAGAUGGAUCCGCGCCGCAUUAGCUAGUUGGUAAGGUAACGGCUUACCAAGGCAACGAUGCGUAGCCGACCUGAGAGGGUGAUCGGCCACAUUGGAACUGAGACACGGUCCAGACUCCUACGGGAGGCAGCAGUAGGGAAUCUUCCGCAAGGGGCGAAAGCCUGACGGAGCAACGCCGCGUGAGGGAUGAAGGUCUUCGGAUCGUAAAACUCUGUUAUUAGGGAAGAACAAAUGUGUAAGUAACUAUGCACGUCUUGACGGUACCUAAUCAGAAAGCCACGGCUAACUACGUG
rnacentral:rRNA from 1 species